rnacentral:lncRNA from 1 species
AUGAAACCCUAGAAAUAUUUCUUAUAUAUUACAAUAGAAUUAGAAGUUAAAAUGACCAAAAGGGCCCUUCAAGAAUGGGCCUCCCCUCUAGUGUAUAUAACGGGCUGUUUUGGUGUGUAUUUAGGCCCUUAAUUACACUUCUCUUACACACACACUUGGACAACUUCAAUACACACCCACAUGAGUCCAUCUACAUGAUCACACUCGUAUCAAUUAGUAAGUUCAAUUACGAUUUCAAUUAAUCUCAUGGUAAAAAUAGUGUAUUGAUAAAUGAUGAUUUGUUAUUGUUUCUACUGAAUAAAUCUUGCUAUUGAUUUAUUUUUUCAACAAAUAAAUAAUCUGUUGCAACAAAUGAAUAAUUUAUUGCAAAAGAUGAAUCAUAUGUUACAAAAAUGAAUCAAUUACUCCAACAGUUGUGUCAUAUGUUGCAACAAAAGGAUCAUUUGUUGUAACAGAUGGACCAUAUGUUGCAACAAAUAGAUCAUCUCUCAAGGGUCAUGAAUUUUCGAUCAUGUAAUUAAAAAAAUAAUUCGUAAAUAAAUAAUAUGAAAAAAAUAUGAUAAACAUAAUUUUGUAGCUAUUUAAUUUAAAUAACUAAAAUACCAAAAAGCUGAAAAGUUAUGACUUUUUACCUUUUUCGUAUUUAAAUCUAUUUUUUAAUUUAAAUAAUUAAAAAGUCAUUAAGUUUGAUUUAAUUAAGAGAUAUAAUUAUUAAAAAAGACGUGAAUGGUCAUGAUUUUUUUCCUAACACACUACACUACUCACUCAUUCAAUCUUUUAUAAAUACGUCUCCUCAGCGAUAUCUCUCGCAUCUUAUGUCGCAUAAAACCGCCAUUAUAUCUUCAAUCACUUCUCAAAAAUAAAUUCUUGUUGGUUAGUUAAGGUAUGUUUUAUUUUCUUGUUCUAAUAUGAAAAUUAUUAACAUACAUCUAUUUUCUAGUUAAGUUUGACAUUUUUUUUGUUAAACUACCAGUUGGUAGUAUAUGUGGUUUAGUAUUUUACGUUAUUUGUUCAUGCAUGUUCUAGAUAUGACUGAUCUGAUUUGGUACAUGACAAUUCUACUUGACACAGUGUAGGAACUUGAAAGACUGGUUCAUGAACUCGAGUGAGAGUUGGGCGCCGCGAGAGCAAAGGUGCUUCCUGGGAUUCGAAGGCUGAGGGGUCUGUUGCCUAAUGAAGUUCCGAUUGACAAUAAUAAUAAUAAUAAUAAUAAUAAUAAUAAUAAUAAUAAUAANNNNNNNNNNNNNNNNNNNNNNNNNNNNNNNNNNNNNNNNNNNNNNNNNNNNNNAUCUAUUUUUUUUAUCAUAUGUAGUUUAUUUUAUCGGAUCUACCUAAUGUUGUAAAUAUUUUUUAUGUAAUGAAUGAAAAAAUCUAUAUUUGAUUGACUGAUUUUAUUCUUAUUUUCUUUCAUUCUGACUAUUUUUUUAAGAUGUUGUGAGGUGUAGGUUUUUUAGCGUUCGGGAGUCGAAAGAAUCAAUUACAAGAAAGAAUGUGUUUGGUUGAGAGCAAGGUCAUAGACUAAAAUUAAAUAAAAACACAAGAUUAUUUACUAUUACAAUAAAAUUAAAGAUAGAUUGAUAACAAAUGGCCCAUCUAUUGCAACAGAUGGUCCAUCUGUUGCAACAGAUGAGUAAUCUAUUGGAAAUGACCAAGUAAAUAAAGACAUCUAUUGCAACAUAUUGAUCGUCUGUCGUAAAAAAAUAGUAAUAUGUUGAAAAUGAUCAAACAAAUAAAGAUAUUUGUUGCAACAGAUUAGUCAUCUAUUGCAAUAAAUUAGUAAUCUAUUGGAAUUGACAAACAGUUAAAGUCAUAUGUUGCAACAAAUUGGUCAUUUGUUGGAAAUAACCAACAAAUAAAGACAUUUGUUACAACAGAUGACCAAUCUGUUAGAACAUAUGUGUAUAUCUGUUUGAUAGUUUUCAAUAGAUGACUCUUUUGUUGCAACCGGCUAAAUCUAUUGCAAUAGGUUAUACACUUAAAUAAUUAUGUAAUUACUAUGAGAAUAAUCAAAAUUGUAAUUAUUAAAUCAAUUUAUCUAUUACAAAUAAUGACUUAAUUUGAAUCAUUUCAAAUAAAAUUGAUCAAUUAACACUUUAUUCAAGACGAAUAUACUUAGAUGAUCAUGUAAUUACUAUGAGACUAAUUAAAAUUGUAAUUAUUAAAUCAAUUUAUCUAUUACAAAUAAUGACUUAAUUUGAAUCAUUUCAAAUAAAAUUGAUCAAUUAACACUUUAUUCAAGACGAAUAUACUUAGAUGAUCAUGUAAUUACUAUGAGAUUAAUUGAAAUAAUAACAAAAAUUAUUAAUUCAUCUUUAAUUUUAGUUAAAUCAAUUUAGUUAUUACUAAUAAUUUCUUAAUUUUAAUUAUUUUAAAUAAAAUUGGUCAAUUGAUCAUUCUACUUAAGUUACACUUAGUUGAUCAUGUAAUUACUAUAAAAUUAAUUGAAAUUGUAAAUGAACUUACUAAUUCAUCUUUAAUUUUGGUUAAAUAAAUAUAGUUAUUUCUAAUUAUGUCUUGGUUUGAAUCAUUUCGAAUAAAAUUAGUCAAUUGAUCACUCUACUCAGGACGAACACACUUAGUUGAUCAAGUAAUUACCAAGAGAUUAAUUGAACUUAUUAAUUCAUAUUUAAUUCUAGUUAAAUCAAUUUAGUUAUUACUAAUAUAAUGGCUUAAUAUGAAUCAAUAGAUGACUAACAUAUUGCAAAAGAUGAGUAAUCUGUUGAAAAUGACCAAACAGAUAAAGACAUCUGUUGCAACGGAUUAGUCAUCUAUUGCAUCAGAUUAGUAAUCUGUGGGAAAUGGCAAAUAGAUAAAGUCAUAUGUUGCAACAGAUUAGUCAUCUAUUGAAAAUGACCAACAGAUAAAGAUAUUUGUUACAACAGAUGACCAAUCUGUUGCAACAUAUGUGUAUAACUGUUUGAUAAUUUUCAACAGAUGACUCAUCUGUUGCAACAGAUUAAAUCUGUUGCAAUAUGUUAUACACUUGAAUGAUCAUAUAAUUACUAUGAGAUUAAUUGAAAUUAUAAUUAUUAAAUCAAUUUAGCUAUUACUAAUACUGACUUAAUUUGAACCAUUUCAAAUAAAAUUAAUCAAUUGAUCACUCUACUCAGAAUGAACACACUAAGAUGAUCAUGUAAUUAAUAUGAGAGUAAUUGAACUUAUCAAUUCAUCUUUAAUUUUAGUUAAAUCAAUGUAGUUAUUACUAAUAAUGUUUUAAUUUGAAUCAUUUCAAAUAAAAUUGGUCAAUUGAUCACUCUACUCAGGACGAACACACUUAGUUGACAUGUAAUUACCAUGAGAUUAAUUGAAAUUAUAAUUGAACUUAUUAAUUCAUGUUUAAUUCUAGUUAAAUCAAAUUAGUUAUUACUAAUAUAAUGUCUUAAUAUGAAUUAAUAGAUGACUAACAUGUUGCAAAUGAUGAGUAAUCUGUUGAAAAUGACCAAACAGAUAAAGACAUCUUUGCAACAGAUUAGUCAUCUAUUGCAAAAGAUUAGUAAUCUGUUGGAAAUGACAAACAGAUAAAGUCAUAUGUUGCAACAGAUUGGUCAUCUAUUGAAAACAACCAACAGAUAAAGACAUUUGUUACAACAGAUGACCAAUCUGUUGCAACAUAUGUGUAUAACUAUUUGAUAAUUUUCAACAGAUGACUCAUCUGUUGCAACAGAUUAAAUCUGUUGCAAUAUGUUAUACACUUGAAUGAUCAUAUAAUUACUAUGAGAUUAAUUGAAAUUAUAAUUAUUAAAUCAAUUUAGCUAUUACUAAUACUGACUUAAUUUGAACCAUUUCAAAUAAAAUUAAUCAAUUGAUCACUCUACUCAGAAUGAACACACUAAGAUGAUCAUGUAAUUAAUAUGAGAGUAAUUGAACUUAUCAAUUCAUCUUUAAUUUUAGUUAAAUCAAUGUAGUUAUUACUAAUAAUGUUUUAAUUUGAAUCAUUUCAAAUAAGAUUGAUCAAUUAAUAUUUUACUCAAGACGAAUAUACUUAGAUGAUCAUGUAAUUAUUAUGAGAUUAAUUGAAAUCGUAACUAAAAUUAUCAAUUCAUCUUUAAUUUUAGUUAAAUCAAUUUAGUUAUUACUAAUAAUUGCUUAAUUUUAAUUAUUUCAAAUAAAAUUGGUCAAUUGAUCAUUCUACUUAAGUUACACUUAGUUGAUAAUGUAAUUACUAUAAAAUUAAUUGAAAUUGUAAAUGAACUUACUAAUUCAUCUUUAAUUUUAGUUAAAUCAAUAUAGUUAUUUCUAAUUAUGACUUGGUUUGAAUUAUUUCAAAUAAAAUUGGUCAAUUGAUCACUCUACUCUGGACGAACACACUUAGUUGAUCAUGUAAUUACCAAGAGAUUAAUUGAAAUUGUAAUUGAACUUAUUAAUUUAUGUCUAAUUCUAGUUAAAUCAAUUUAGUAAUUACUAAUAUAAUGGCUUCAUAUGAAUCAGUAGAUGACUAACAUGUUGCAAAAAAUGAGUAAUCUGUUGAAAAUGACCAAACAGAUAAAGAUAUCUAUUGGAAAUGACCAAACAUAUAAAAACAUCUGUUGAAAAUUACCAAAUAAUUAUAUACACAUGUUGCAACAGAUGACAACAUAUUGCAAUAAAUGACUUAUAUAUUGAUAAUUAUCAAACAAAUAUAGACAUCUGUUACAACAAAUGACUAAGUUGUUGUAAUAUAUGACUCAUCAGUUAAAAAUUAUCAAACAUAGAAGAUAUAUGUUGGAAAAUAAUUUAAAAUACUAAAGCUCAGAUGUUUGUAAGAGAACUCAAAUGUUUGUCCCCUUGUCUAAGGUCUUGUCUUUAAUUUUAGUUAAAUCAAUUUAGUUAUUACUAAUAAUUGCUUAAUUGAAUCAUUUCAAAUAAAAUUUAUCAAUUGAUCAUUCUAUUAAGGAUGAAUACAUAAAUUGAAAUUGUAAGUGGACUUAUCAAUUCAUCUUUAAUUUAGUGAAAAUCAAUUUAGUAACUACUAUAAUGACUUAAUUUGAAUCAUUUCAAAUAAAAUUAGUCGAUUGAUCACUCUUCUCGAGACGAAUACACAUAAUUGAUCAUGUAAUUACUAUGAGAUUAAUUAAAAUUGUAAGUGAACUUAUCAAUUCAUAUUUAAUUUUAGUUAUAUCAAUUUAGUUAUUACAAAUAAUGACCUAAUUUGAUUCAUUUCAAAUAAAAUUGGUCAAUUGAUCACUCUACUCAUGACGAAUAUACUUAGUUGAUCAUUUAAUUACUAUGAGAUUGAUUGAAAUUGUAAGUUUAUCUUUAAUUUUAGUUAAAUCAAUUUAGUUAUAACUAAUAAUGACUUAAUUUGAAUUAUUUUAAAUAAAAUUGGUUGAUUGAUCACUCUACUUGGGACGAAUACACUUAAUUAAUCAUGUAAUUACUAUGAGAUUAAUUGAAAUUGUAAGUGAACUCAUCAAUUCAUGUUUAAUUUUAGUUAAAUCAAUAUAGUUAUUACUAAUAAUGACUUAAUUUGAAUCAUUUCAAAUAAAAUUGAUUAGUUAAUUAUUCUGCUAAGGAUGAAAUACUUAAUUGAUCAUGUAAUUACCAUGAGAUUAAUUGCAAUCGUAAUUGAACUUACUAUUUCAUCUUUUAUUUUAGUUAAAUCAUUAUAUUUAUUUCUAAUAAUGAUUUAACUUGAAUUAUUUCAAAUAAAAUUGGUCAAUUAAUCAUUCUACUUAAUACGAAACACUUAAUUGAUCAUGUAAUUACUAUGAGAUUAAUUGAAAUCUUAAUUGAGUUUACUAAUUCAUCUUUAAUUUUAGUUAAAUAAAUAUAGUUAUUUCAAAUGAUGACUUAGUUUGAAUCAUUUCAAAUAAAAUUGAUCAAUUGAUCACUCUACUAAGGACGACCAUACUUAGUUGAUCGUGUAAUUAUAAUGGGAUUAAUUGAAACUGUAAUUGAACUUAUUAAUAUUUUAUUUUAGUAAUCAAUUUAGUUAUUACUAAUAAUGGCUUAAUUUGAAUCAAUAGAUGACUAACAUGUUACAAUAGACGAGUAAUCUGUUGGAAAUGACCAAACAAAUAAAAACAUUUGUUAAAAAUGACCAAACAGAUAUAGACAUCUGUUGCAACAGAUGACUCACUUGUUGCAACAACUAAUUCAUCUAUUGAAAAUUAUCAAACAGAUCUAGACAUCUGUUGCAACAGAUGACUAAGUUGUUGUAACAUAUGACUUAUCUGUUGGAAAUUAUUAAAUAGACAAAAUAUGUGUUGAAAAAUAAUUUAAAAUACUUAAGCUUAAAUAUUUUUUAGGAGAACUCAAACGUUUUCCCCUUGUCUAAUGUCUUGUCUUCAACUUUAAUUAAAUUAAUUUAAUUAUUAUUAAUAAUUUCUUAAUUUAAAUCAACAAAUGACUAACCUGUUAUAAGCAUGUGUUACAACAGAUGACUAACUUGUUGUAACAAAUAGAUCAUCUAUUGAAAAAUAAUUAAAAUACUAGGAAACUGAAACAUUUUAAGAGAAUUCAAAUGUUUGUCCCAUUGUCUUAAAGACUUAUCUUUUUAGGUAAAUUAAUUUAGUUAUUAUUAAUAAUUGCUUAAUUUGAAUCAACAGAUAACUAACAUGUCGUAAGAGAUAAUUCAUCUGUUGGAAAUUAUCAAACAGAUAGAAAAUCUGUUAUAACAGAUGGGUCAUCCAUUAGAAAGCAAAAAUACUAGGGAACUCAAACGUUUUAAGGAGAACUCAAACGUUUGUCCUCUUGAUCCUUUUGCAUUUGAUGUAUGAUAUGCUAUUUUUGUCUUCUUUACAUGUUUCAUAAAAUUUUUCAUGUGUUUCACUUAUUCGUUGUGCCCCUGUUGAAAAUUUUAGAAUUUUUUAGGUCAAAUUUUAUUCGUAUAUCACUUGGACAUUAUUGUAUAGGUGAUUUUGUAAGUAUAAUUAUAAUUUUUGUUGAAUUUUUUAUUUGGUAUAGCUACUACUACUACAAUGGAUAGAACCUGCAACAUGAAUCCAAUAUAUGAGUAAUUUGUUGCUACAAGUGAGUAAUUUAUUGCAACAUAUGACUAAUCUGCUGUAACAGAUGACCCAUAUGUUGGAUUCAUGUAACAACACUAUAAUAUGAAUCUAAUAGAUGAGUAAUCUAUUGCAACAGAUUAGUCAUAUAUGUUGCAACAGAUUACUCAUCUGUUGGAUUCACGUUACAUGUUUUAUCCAUUAUUGAAAAAAUAUUAGUAGCAGAUACAACCAGAUGAGAAAUUCAACUAAAAACUAUAAUUUUACUUACUAAAAUCACCUAAUAAGUAAUGCUCAAGUGAUAUACGAAUAAAAUUUGACCUAAAAAAUUUUAUCAAGUAGCAACAGUAGCGGUAACAACAACAAUGUUCAACAACAAGAAAAUGAUGAUGCUGAACAAGAAGAGAUGAUAAUGAAAAAUAAGAUGAUGAUAGUGAAUAAGAUGAUGAAUAAAACAACAACAACAACAACAACAAUGAACAAUAAAAAUUGCGAAGAGAGAGAAAACUCCAAUAAAUGAGAAGAAAGAGAAAUGUGUCUUUUUUCCCCUCCGUUUCAAGUUAUAUUAAGUUUUACAUUAGAUCAAAGUGUAAAUUAAAAAACUUAUGGGUUAUUUUCAAACUUAUCUUACUUUCUUAAUCCUUAGUAAAAUAAUUGUCACCCCCAUUCAAUUAUUAAAAAUUGUGUCACCCAGACCUCAUUUUAAAACUCUUUCGUCACCUGCAGUCCGAAGCGUCCACUUUCUGGUGCUCAUAGUGUUUCAUACGAGACAAUCAUAAGUGCACUACAUUAAUAUACAUCAAAACCAUAUUCAUAAUAAUUGUCCAAAAAGUUUGGAAGUGGCCACACAAAUUAUAAAGUCAAGGUAUAAACUUAUAGUUCAUCAAUCAUUAUCGCAUUAUUUUAAAAAAAAAAUGAGAGAGAAUAUUUAGUUUGACAUAUAUAUAUAUAUAUAUAUAUAUAUAUAUAAACUGAAGGACGAAAAUAAUUUUUACAAAGAAAAUAUUUAGUAGUAGUUGUUGACUUCUUGUUAUUAUCAAGUUAAAAGUAGUAAUUCAUGAAGAAGUUGACUUACAGUUAGUUAACAAGUGAAACCAACUUGCAAUUUUGUUUCUCUUUCGUCUGUUUGGUAUCUUCAAUUUUUCGAUCCAAUCCUAAAAAGGAGCAAAAGAGUUCCAAAGCUUGUGAUGGAACGGCACGUACUCAUU